AACCUGGUUGAUCCUGCCAGUAGUCAUAUGCUUGUCUCAAAGAUUAAGCCAUGCAUGUCUAAGUAUAAAUUUUUAUAUGAUGAAACUGCAGACGGCUCAUUACAACAGUAAUAAACUAAUAGACUUUCGGGUUUUAUUACCUUUUGGAUAACCGCAGUAAAUCGGGGCUAAUACAUACAAUCGAGGGGUGACUGUUUACGGAAUCCCCGCGAUUAUUAGCUUUUCAACCAAUACUCCUUUUGGAGUUUUGUGGUGAAACCGAAUAAUAUUGCAGAUCGAAGCUUAGGCAUCGACAAGUCUACUGUGUUACUGCCCUAUCAACUUUCGAUGGUACGGUAUUGGCCUACCAUGGUUGUAACGGGUAACGGGGAAUUAGGGUUCGAUUCCGGAGAGGGCGCCUGAGAAAUGGCGACCACUUCUACGGAAGGCAGCAGGCGCGCAAAUUACUCAAUCCCAAUACGGGGAAGUAGUGACAAGAAAUAUUAAUGCCUAUCCUUUUAGGAAGGUAAUUAAAAUGGGUCUAAACUAAAUCCAUUUUCUAAUACAAUUGGAGGGCAAGUCUGGUGCCAGCAGCCGCGGUAAUUCCAGCUCCAAUAGCAUAUACUAAAUUUGUUGCGGUUAAAAAGCUCGUAGUUGAAAUUAAAAUUAUAUUGGGCUAAAUAGGUUUUAGCCGAUUUUUCAUCGGUUUAAAACUUCCAAUAUAUAUUUUUUAAAUUUUGGCUCAUGAAUUUGGUUACUUUUGUAAUUCAAGUUCUUUUUGGGUUCUUCACUGUGAGAAAAUUGUGGUGCUUAAAGCAGGCGUUUUCGCUUGAUCUUUUGCAGCAUGGGAUGAUAGAACAUGACAUUUUGCGCUAUUGGUUGCGUUAAAGUGUAAUGAUUAAUAGGGAUGGAUGGGGGUGUUCAUAUUGGUGGGCGAGAGGUGAAAUUCGUUGACCCUAUCAAGAUGAACUUCUGCGAAAGCAUUCACCAAAUACUUCCCCAUUAAUCAAGAACGAAAGUUUGGGGAUCAAAGACGAUCAGAUACCGUCGUAGUCCAAACUAUAAACUAUGUCGACCAGGGAUCAGCUAAAAUUUCUAAAAAAUUUAGUUGGCACCUUGUGAGAAAUCACGAGUGUUUAGAUUCUGGGGGGAGUAUGGUCGCAAGUCUGAAACUUAAAGGAAUUGACGGAAGGGCACACAAUGGAGUGGAGCCUGCGGCUUAAUUUGACUCAACUCGGGAAAACUUACCAAGCUAAGAUAUAAUAAGGAUUGACAGACUAAAAGAUCUUUCAUGAUUGUAUAAGUGGUGGUGCAUGGUCGUUCUUAGUUGGUGGAGCAAUCUGUCUGGUCAAUUCCGAUAACGGACGAGAUCUCGACCUGCUAACUAGUAGUACUUAUCAGCUCAAUAUGCACGAAAGCUUUGUUGGAGUAAGUUGUAGGUCGAAAGGUUUACAACACUUCGCUUGGUCGGUAGUGUGAAUUGAUAAGUACGCUUAAAUAAAACUUCUUAGAGGGACUACCUGUGGCAAACAGGGGGAAGUUCGAGGCAAUAACAGGUCUGUGAUGCCCUUAGAUACCUUGGGCCGCACGCGCGCUACAAUGUAGUACGCAAAAAGCAAUCCUGGUCCGGAAGGACUGGGUAAUCAUAAAUUUACUACGUAACUGGGAUUGAUCUUUGUAAUUAUUGAUCAUCAACGAGGAAUUCCUUGUAAGCGCAAAUCAUUACUUUGUGCUGAAUAUGUCCCUGCCCUUUGUACACACCGCCCGUCGCUCCUACCGAUCGAAUGAUACGGUAAAGCCAACAGAUUAAUGUAUUAUGGGCAACCAUUUUACGUUGAAAAGUUGUUUAAAUCUCAUUGUUUAGAGGAAGGAGAAGUCGUAACAAGGUAUCCGUAGGUGAACCUGCAGAAGGAUCAA
rnacentral:rRNA from 1 species